UACGUAGGGGGCAAGCGUUGUCCGGAAUUAUUGGGCGUAAAGCGCGCGCAGGUGGUUUCUUAAGUCUGAUGUGAAAGCCCACGGCUCAACCGUGGAGGGUCAUUGGAAACUGGGGGACUUGAGUACAGAAGAGAAGAGUGGAAUUCCACGUGUAGCGGUGAAAUGCGUAGAGAUGUGGAGGAACACCGAUGGCGAAGGCAGCCCCCUGGGCUGAGAUUGACGCUCAGGCACGAAAGCGUGGGGAGCAAACAGG
rnacentral:rRNA from 1 species